UAGACCUUACGUGGACACCACCAGAUAUAGCGACACGACUUGUUCCAACUAUUUGCGCAGUUGUCCCUGACUGGUAUGACGUGGUUGCAUGUUGUGUGCCGACCAGACAGAAUUCCAUGUCACGCAACUGUAGUUGACGUUGAUACCUUUCCGUGUUACCAGUAGAUGAUGGGCAUAAACAUAACCGCUUCAAUCAUAGAGGAACCUUUACUUUGUAUUCAGGAUUGAAUUCCAUGUCGCACAAUUGAAUGUUACCACUAGACGAUGGGCGUACUGAUGUCAACAAGGAACAUCAGCUACCUUGUGUGGAUUGAACCAAACAUGAUUGUGAUAACUAACUCUGUGACUGGCUUACAGUUUACGAAGGUGGAAUCGUUGGGACAUGACAUGCUUUGUCGCUUCUCUAUUUAUCGAAUGUAAAAUUGCCAAUAACCAACUGCCUUGAAUUUACAAUCAGCUAAACAACUGUUACUUAAAGUUACGUGUCAACAGUCGUACGGGAUACAAUCAACACAUACAACAUGGAACAAUUCAGGAUGACGUCAACCACUCACUACCUUUACUGUCACCUGGAAGAUAUACAUGCACGUGUUUGCUAAAAUACAAUAGUUUACUGGAUUGUGUGAACAUGACUUAAACCACAAUAGCACGGUGCUUUUAUGAACCAGACUGAUGUUCAAGGUAGAAAUUAAUUUUGUUGAACAACUCUAAUUUUGAAAGGUAUAUUUUGCUGUGAUUGUUUGAAAUCAUAUAUGUUGAUAAUUCUGAAGUCCUAUGUAUAAAUAUAGUGUGUUGUGAUCUUUA